AAGCUCUGGAGCAUAACUCCCGGCUUUCGAGGUGGAGAUUCUGCGUUUUGUCGACAGGUUACGCCGGACCGCGGCAGCGAAAGCCUCGCGGAGAAAAACCGCGACCUCCGAAACUAAGUCCAUGUGCGCGAUACGUGGUCGCGAAUACGAAAAUCCCGGUCUACGUUUAAGCGGAAGUGGGGGAGGAGAAGGGGAAGCGGGGGUCGCGUAAGAGCAAAAACCGACCGUCAUUCCCUCGCGGAAAUUCCAUCCUUAAUCACCGAGAAUCUCGUCGCCGAUACAGCUCUGCCUGCGGAAACCGCGAUCAUGGGUAAGCAGAAAAAGCUGCCCGAAACAGUUGCUCCGCGGAGUGAAAAAGCGGCUCGUGUUUUCGCCCAUCUCGGUGGUGCUUGCGUGCUUUAAGCCGCGUUCGCAGGAGGCGGAGAGGAAAAAUGUGGGUCACUUUUGGAGCUGCCGGUCACUCGCUGAGAUGUGAGGAAUGAGGAAGUAAAAACAACAAAAAACAAAAAAAAAAAAAAACUUGAUUCAACCGGAAAACAUGAUCGAGAUUCGAGAAUACCUCGGAAAAUUCGACGAGCACUUCAACGACCGGAGAAUCGAAUGUUGCUGCAGGUAUUUCGGUGCGAGGGGUAAAGUGAACGUAGGAAGCUGCAAUCAAGACUCGUUUAGAGACGCCUUGACCUAGGCCCGCUUAUGUGUCACAUCUUGUACGACAGAAGCGACGCAAAUAUAUUCCCAUGGUUAAAAGGUGCGUGGUUGGUAGAAGAUACAUAUUUAUGUACAGAAAUAAGGUUGCACCGCGACGUUCUCGUGAAUUUAGAAUGAGAGAACGUCGGGGAUACGAUUCUUAAGGCUCGACCGGCGUUAUCAGCGCGUUAACACGUGUUCAAAUAGACCAAGUUUGGUACGGAGUUACGUAAUCGUGGCUUAAUAGGUGCUGCGUAGAAAAAACAAAAAGGAGAUAAAGAACAGAAACGUCGUCACACCGGGGAAGGCUUAAACGUUGCGAGGGAGGAGGAGGAAAAUUUGGAACACUAAGAUAAUUAUCAACCGAUAUGACGACGCCUGCAAGUGUCGUGAUAUUUUAACGAGCUCAACUUUGGCGAGCUCUUGGAAGGACAGAGACGGGAUACCGAUCAGUGUCUUGGGCUGUUGAAAUGAGGCAGACGGUCCGCUAGUGAAUUCGAUGGUUUAUUUUCAUUCGUAUUUCCUUACCCACCGCGAAAGUGAAUUAGAAAGUUUCCGAGGAAUAAUUGCUGCAGAGUUUUGAAAGGAGAAUAUAAGAAUAAGACGAAGAAAAAUAAGAGAAAAGGAACGAGUGGUUUAUUAAUUGAAACCGGUUUCUUCGUUGUUCAAAGUUGUUCUUGUUCUUCCUGUUCUCCUUAACUUCCGCAUCUUUUCCUCUUAUAAUUAUACCGCAGCGAUUUUUCACAGCGUAAUAGAAGAAAACAAAGAAAGAGAGAUAUUAUCGCCGUCGUAUCGUCGUCAGGAAAGGAGGCCACGAAGAAUAAGAAGAAGAAGAAGAAGAAGAAGAAGAAAACUCCGAGUGUUACAGUGUGCGAAAAUAGUGUCAUGAUUUGUGCGGUUAGAGUUUCGCCGAGUGUGUAAAAUAUACCGGGUCUCGUUUCAUCCGUUGAACGGGUUGCACCUAUUCACAGUUGUAACUAGCUCGGAACAAGUUCUUUCUUCCCCGUCACACAUUCCAUUCGCUUUUUCAUUCGUUUAUUUCCGCCGAGCGAACACCCCUGAAGAUGAACUAACUUUAACAAUGCCGGUUCCGAUGCAUUAACACUGCACGCCAACUAGGUUGGGAAGCAGAGGUCUGUUCUGUCCCGUCGAGUGUGAAGAUAGCAGGAAGCGGAGGAAAGACCGUGGUGAAAAAGGACCCGCGAGAAGAGAGGUGGGAGGAAAGUGCAAAACCAGCAAAUCCUUCUCCCAGACUACGUCAUCAGUUUUAAUAUUGCAGAAUAGAAGCUGCCGCCGCGACGCCGCUCCGAGAGUGACUCUCUUAAUAAUGAGAUGAUAUUAUCACGAGAAGCUGUUUCGACAUCGGCAGCAGUACCGAGAUGGGAAACGUCGGUUUGACAUCUCGUUAUACGUGCACACCCGUUAUCUCGGCGCGUUCGAAAAUGCUCGAGAGAGAGAGAGAGAGAGAGAGAGAAUUUGAUAGAAGGAAUUUUAUAACUACGGUGAAAUAGCACGUCCGGUCUGUAAGGCUUUGCAAAAGGAGGUUCAGCAGUUCCAAAGAGGCAAUAAUUGGAAGAAAAUUACGGUUCACUUGUGCUUAAAUCGUGCUGAGGCAUCGUCACGACAUGUCGCAAUCAUAGUGAGCGGGGAAAAGGAAGUUGAUGACUGUUAUUGACAGGGGUUGACGAUAAUCUCGUGAAUUUACCGGAAAUAGAACGGCGAUCAAGCCAGUCUACAGGGAUCUAGCAUGAAUAGAUAAAUCAAACACUAGCACCCAUGGUGGCCAUGCGGCAUGCAAUGUACACGGUUUGUUGUGUCAUGGAAAAAUCGAUAUGCCUACUUCAGCGUCUUCUGACAAAUGACUGCAUGCGAAUACGAUCGAAACACGGCUGUCAAAGAAAAGUUUACAGGACGUAUAUUAUCUCAGAUAAAAUACCGAAGUGCUAUAUUUACGAACAUUCGGUGGCUAAGAAAAUAUACGAAGUCUGAUGUCGAUACUUCGUUUCAAACCGCUUCAAAUUAAGGACGAAAGUUUGGUGAUCAUAAUCAAUAUCGGAGUAUUGUUGUAGAAUUAAAUAUUUAACGCUGCCAAGAUUACAGAAAAAAGCGGUCCGGUGAAUUUGCGGGGAAUAUUUUCCUGACUUAAACGAGCCAUCGUAUAUUGAAAUCGAUUGUUAAUAAUUUUUAAGCGAUUUCAAACGAAGCAUCGAUAUCUGAGUUUCCGUUCAGAAUUACAGUAUUUUUUGAGUUUUCACCAUCAGAAAGAUAUUCGUAGAUUAUGAACACAUUCCAUUAACUUAACGAACUUAACGAAUAGUAUCGAUAUUCGUCUCUGUGUCAGAUGAUUGGACAAUUUUUCAUAUAUUUUGUCAAAUCCUAGGAUAUUUCAUUCGGCAAGGAAGGUUAAAACGUAGCCGGUUAAUAAAUAGUUACCGAGGUCUUGUCUCUCAAAUGCCCAUAUUUUUCAACGUAAAAGUUACAUAAUUAAUCAGUUAUUCAAUAAUUCGAUAAAUAUAUAGAAUGUCAAAAAAGCAGGGAGAGAAAAAAAAACACACACACACAGA